CUACGGACCUAAUUGGAUUGAGCCUUGGUAUGGAAGCUUACUAAGUGAUCACUUUCAAAUUCUGAGAAACCCUGGAAUUAAAAAAAGGGCAAUAGAGCCAAAUCCUGUUUUCUGAAAAGAAACAAAGGUUCAAUAAAAAGGAUAGGUGCAGAGACUCAAUGGAAAAUAUUCCAACAAAUGGAGUUAAAUCCGUUCGUAGAUGACUUUUUACAUCGGAACUUCAGAAUGAAAA
rnacentral:ncRNA from 1 species